GAUGAACGCUAGCGGGAGGCCUAAUACAUGCAAGUCGAACGGUAAGGUCCCUUCGGGGAUACACGAGUGGCGGACGGGUGCGUAACGCGUACGAAACAUACCUUCAACAGGGAGAUACCUCCGGGAAACUGGAAAUAAUACCCCAUAGUAUUGAGAUAUCGCAUGAUAUUUCUAAUUAAAGACUUUGGUCGGUUGAAGAAUUGUCGUGCGUCUGAUUAGCUAGUUGGUGAGGUAACGGCUCACCAAGGCGACGAUCAGUAGCUGGUCUGAGAGGAUGAUCAGCCACACUGGAACUGAGACACGGUCCAGACUCCUACGGGAGGCAGCAGUAGGGAAUAUUGGACAAUAGGCGGAAGCCUGAUCCAGCCAUCCCGCCGUGUAGGAAGU
rnacentral:rRNA from 1 species